GACGAACGCUGGCGGCGUGCUUAACACAUGCAAGUCGAACGGAAAGGCCCUGCUUUUGUGGGGUGCUCGAGUGGCGAACGGGUGAGUAACACGUGAGUAACCUGCCCUUGACUUUGGGAUAACUUCAGGAAACUGGGGCUAAUACCGGAUAGGAUCUCCUGCUGCAUGGUGGGGGUUGGAAAGUUUCGGCGGUUGGGGAUGGACUCGCGGCUUAUCAGCUUGUUGGUGGGGUAGUGGCUUACCAAGGCUUUGACGGGUAGCCGGCCUGAGAGGGUGACCGGCCACAUUGGGCCUGAGAUACGGCCAAGACGCCAACGGGAGGAAGCAGUGGGGAAUAUUGCACAAUGGGCGGAAGCCUGAUGAAGCAACGCCGCGUGCGGGAUGACGGCUUUCGGGUUGAAAACCGCUUUCGCAUGUGACGAGGCGUGAGUGACGGUAAUGGGUAAAGAAGCACCGGCUAACUACGUG
rnacentral:rRNA from 1 species